CAUUCAUCUCCUCAUCAAAGUGAUUGCAGAAAUUCUCCUAUAAAACCUUCACUCGAAGUAAAUUUUAAAAAAAUCUCUCGGCUGCUAUCAGCAAACUGUUCAAGAUGAAGUCGUUCUUUGUCGUCACUUUAGUUCUAUUUCCAUGUCUGUGUCUUGUUGAAGUCACCCAAGCCGUUGCUGUUUCAAAGGAAGGUACGCAAGAUGAAGCUUUUGCCCCUGAAAACAUUGUAGAUUCAGGCAAACUGACACAGACAGAAGAAGA